UAGAAGGAAGGAACUAACUCCGACAUGACCUU
rnacentral:piRNA from 1 species